rnacentral:sRNA from 1 species
UCACCAGAAUCCUUCCUUUUGCUUCUCAGUAAAUUUCAUUUACACCAGGUGAAGCAAUAGAAUCAUUGUCAUUUCAGUCAUCAAUUACACCCACUCGAUGACCAUGUUCUUUGAAUAUACAGUGCUCACUUUAUAUGACUCAUAAAGCAGCCGUGCGAAUCAGCUAUACCACGCACACAAUCAAUGGUAAUUUUGGUUUGGAUUUCAGCAGCAGAUGACUUAUUAUUGCCACUGACAGAGAAAUGGUUUUUGGCAUCUGAGAAUGAGAGUGCAGACCUGCUAGGUGCUGUGUGUGAUGAGAGUGUUGAUUAAUAUACUCCAGAAAGCCUAGGCGGGGUGGUUUGUCUUGU